GAGUUUUGGAAGUUCUAGUUAAACUUAGACUAUGAUUUGAUGAAACUUGAUGUUUGAUGUUAAAGGUAGUGUUUUGAUUGCUCAAGCAAGUUUGAAUAAGGUAAUAGAACUUAUAUGUGCCUUUGGUUGAGGUCCCGGGGGCCUCGGGUGAGUUUCAGGGCGGUUUUGGUCCAUUUCUAGGCCAUUUUUAACUGCUGGAUUUUGUCUGAAG
rnacentral:lncRNA from 1 species